rnacentral:rRNA from 1 species
GACGAACGCUGGCGGCAGGCUUAACACAUGCAAGUCGAACGCUCUCUUCGGAGAGAGUGGCAGACGGGUGAGUAACGCGUGGGAAUCUACCCAGUGCUACGGAACAACACAGAGAAAUUUGUGCUAAUACCGUAUACGCCCUCCGGGGAAAGAUUUAUCGGCAUUGGAUGAGCCCGCGUUUGAUUAGCUAGUUGGUGAGGUAAUGGCUCACCAAGGCGACGAUCAAUAGCUGGUCUGAGAGGACGAUCAGCCACACUGGGACUGAGACACGGCCCAGACUCCUACGGGAGGCAGCAGUGGGAAUAUUGGACAAUGGGCGAAAGCCUGAUCCAGCCAUGCCGCGUGUGUGAUGAAGGCCCUAGGGUUGUAAAGCACUUUCAACGGUGAAGAUAAUGACGGUAACCGUAGAAGAAGCUCCGGCUAACUUCGUGCCAGCGCCGCGGUAA